UUCUCUCUCUUCUUCAGUUCUUGUUUCCGCAAGCGUCCACUAUUGCUUCCCGUCUCUGCCACCAACAAAUCGAAAUAAAAAUACCAGCCAUGGAUGUCAGGAACAGAACCGACUGCACUGGCCAGUUCGGUCUGAGACUAGAACUCAUUUGCGGUUAAUCAUUCGGUACCCGUGUGGUUCCACAAUUAUCUCAAGUUGUAAACAGCUAAUAAUCUGGUAGAGCUCAAGUUGAAUCGCAUAAAGAACACAUAAAAUAAACAAACAUAGCUGAGCCAAAUCGGUAGAUUUAGAGAUGCAGAGUCACAGUUUCUACUCUAGCAAGAAAAAGCGAAACGUUUGAAGAAGAGUAGAGCUCUGUCCACAAGCGCCGGAGCAACAAUGCAAAUUUCAACGUAGAGG